UACGUAGGGUGCGAGCGUUGGUCCGGAAUUAUUGGGCGUAAAGAGCUUGUAGGCGGUUUGUCGCGUCUGCUGUGAAAAUCCGGGGCUCAACCCCGGACUUGCAGUGGGUACGGGCAGACUAGAGUGUGGUAGGGGAGACUGGAAUUCCUGGUGUAGCGGUGAAAUGCGCAGAUAUCAGGAGGAACACCGAUGGCGAAGGCAGGUCUCUGGGCCACUACUGACGCUGAGAAGCGAAAGCAUGGGGAGCGAACAGG
rnacentral:rRNA from 1 species